UGAGGCGAUGACGUCCUCCCCCUUAGGGUCUGGGUGGGAGUUGGUGCCUUUCGGUUCCCGGUCGCGUGUGGCCGAGGCUGUCCCCCCCUCUGAGGGGGCUGUGGUGUUGGGGGGCUGUUCGGUGAUGAGUCCAUUCACAGACCUGAACUGACUGCGGUGUGAAGGCUUGUAGUGUCUCUGAGGAGAGCGGACUCCAGGGGGGAGGCUGCGGUGCCUUCCCACGCCUUGCUAGGCGGUGGGGGAAUCUUACCUAUACCCUUUCUGUGUUUCUAACGGCUUUUUUUCUUUGCUUUUUAGGCUUUCAGCCCUCCAAAUGGAUUUUCUGUCAGAGAUAAGGAACCGCUCGGCCACGGGUUCCUGCAGCUCCUUUACAGCCUGGGGGAGCGGGACCUGCUGCUGCAGCGGGGCGGGAUGAUUGGGCCGCUCUUUCCUGCUGAGCCCCAAAACACCGUGAAUUAACCCCAGGGUUGGAGAUGGCACCCCAAAGGCCCCGCGGGGUUCCCCCCCACGCAGCCGCUGUCACGGGGAGGAUCCGGUGAGGUCCCGGAGGAGAAGGGGGAGCUGCGGGAGUCAGGGUGACAGUGGGGUCCGGUGACACCCGUGGGGACCCCCGGAGGAGGUAUGUAAAUGGGGGGGUGUGUGUGUGGUGGCCUUUUACCUCAUCGAUGAUGUCAUUACCCCCAAUUUGAGGGAACCCCCCCAAUUUUAGUGAUGAGGUCAACUAGCUCACUUUGACCCCCCUGAAAACACCCGAACACCUG